rnacentral:rRNA from 1 species
CCUACGGGUGGCAGCAGUGGGGAAUAUUGCACAAUGGGGGAAACCCUGAUGCAGCGACGCCGCGUGAGCGAUGAAGGAUUUCGGGAUGUAAAGCUCUAUCAGCAGGGAAGAAAAUGACGGUACCUGACUAAGAAGCCCCGGCUAACUACGAGCCAGCAGCCGCGGUAAUACGGAGGGGGAAAGCGUGAGCCGGAUUGACGGGGGGGAAAGGGAGCGGAGACGGCGGGGCAAGCCAGCUGUGAAAGCCCGGGGCUCAACCCCGGGACUGCCUUUGGAACUGUGCUGCUAGAGUGUCGGAGAGGCUGGCGUAAUUCCUAGUGUAGCUGUGAACUGCGUAGAUAUUAGGAGGAACACCAGUGGCGAAGGCGGCCUGCUGGACCAUGACUGACGUUGAGGCUCGAAAGCGUGGGGAGCAAACAGGAUUAGAUACCCGAGUAGUC